UAGGAUGCUAUGUUUUGGGUUAGGAUGAGAAGAGUGCUGAUAACAUACUGAUAAUAUCCUGAAGAGUCCUGAU